GAUGAACGCUAGCGACAGGCCUAACACAUGCAAGUCGAGGGGCAGCACAAUGCGUAGCAAUACAAAUGGUGGCGACCGGCGCACGGGUGAGUAACACGUAUGCAACCUACCUAUAAGUGGGGAAUAACCCGGAGAAAUCCGGACUAAUACCGCAUAAUACUUGUUAAUCUGCAUGGAUUACAAGUUAAACAUUUAUGGCUUAUAGAUGGGCAUGCGUAUGAUUAGUUAGUUGGUGAGGUAACGGCUCACCAAGACAUCGAUCAUUAGGGGUUCUGAGAGGAAGGUCCCCCACACUGGUACUGAGACGCGGACCAGACUCCUACGGGAGGCAGCAGUGAGGAAUAUUGGUCAAUGGGCGAGAGCCUGAACCAGCCAAGUCGCGUGAAGGAAGACGGUUCUAUGGAUUGUAAACUUCUUUUGCAGGGGAAUAAAGGACGGUACGUGUACUGUUUUGUAUGUACCUUGCGAAUAAGGAUCGGCUAACUCCGUG
rnacentral:rRNA from 1 species